rnacentral:misc_RNA from 1 species
AACAUCGCUGUUCAAGUCAGACUAUACUAUGUUUGUUUUUAAUGUCUCCAAAAGAGACGUGAGUCCACCGACCGGUUCUUAAUCUAAUCUAUGGUACAACAUUUUUUUUUUUUUUUUUUUUUUGUAUUAUUAUUAUUUCCUUAUAAUACUAUACUUAUAUCUAGCUAAAUAUUACAUUAUUUACAUGCGUAAUAAUCGUUUUCUUAGAAAUAUAUUUUUUAAUAUUGUCUAUAUUACUACCAAACUUACUCCUCCCAAGCAAAG